rnacentral:snRNA from 1 species
GUACUCUGAUCUUUCUUCAGUUGUCGAAUAAAUUUAUCGUCUUUUACUAAAGAUUUCCGUGAAGAGACAUACUCUAAUGAGUCUAAAAUGAUUUUUAUUUUCAUUUGAUCUUGAUA